rnacentral:rRNA from 1 species
CCUACGGGAGGCAGCAGUGAGGAAUAUUGGUCAAUGGCCGGAAGGCUGAACCAGCCAUGCCGCGUGAAGGUCAGUUCCCUAUGGGCGUUAAACUUCUUUUGUUCGGGAGCAAUACUGGUCCCGUGUGGCCAUACUAUAGUACCGUACGAAUCAGCAUCGGCUAACUCCGUGCCAGCAGCCGCGGUAAUACGGGGGAUGCAAGCGUUAUCCGGAUUUAUUGGGUUUAAAGGGUGCGUAGGCGGUCGGAUAAGUUAGAGGUGAAAUCCCGAGGCUCAACUUCGGAAUUGCCUCUGAUACUGUUAGGCUAGAGAGUAGUUGCGGUAGGCGGAAUGUAUGGUGUAGCGGUGAAAUGCUUAGAGAUCAUACAGAACACCGAUUGCGAAGGCAGCUCACCAAGCUACGUCUGACGUUGAGGCACGAAAGCGUGGGGAGCAAACAGGAUUAGAUACCCUUGUAGUC